rnacentral:lncRNA from 1 species
CUUCCGCAAACAUAAAACAGCAUUCUAGGAGGUGCCAUUAUCUCUGGAAGGGCGGGGAGGGGGAGAGAGAAAGAGAAACAAAAUUAAGAGGGCGGGAAAACAAAAACGCACUUCCUUCGUGAAUGGCGGUAAAACAUGGACAAAGAUAAUGCUAUGUUUAUUGGAUGUGACUGGUUUAUUUUUUAAGAGACCUAGAAAUAGCGGUGGAAUAGUGGCGAGCUGGUGUCCCCCUCAUACUUUCAGUUGGACUAGUCGCUCAGUUUUGGAACGUUGAUCCUUUACCCCGGAACGAGUCCCGAACCCGAGGCGCAAAGAGCUGUUUCGGAGGGCUUUAUUUACCCUAACGCGGUGGGCAGACUUUUAGCUGUGGAUGAGGCUCGCUUUUGGCACGUAUUUUCCAUCUCCAGGGCAUCGCCACCGAUCGUUCCUUAGAACAUAGCCCAGAUAGGGUGCCUUGAAAGCAGCUUCAUCCCAGCAGUAGUUUUGUACCACCACGCUAUUGGACAAGCCAGAACCUUACAUCUGUGUCAGUGUGCAGCCCCCUUGCUAACCUUUUAAUAAUCGCCUUUUAAAUACUUGCUGCGGCCUAGAUGCUGGUUAGCAACUAAGGACACCUUCUGAGUUUAGAUUUAUGAUUUCGAAGUACAGCUUUCGACAGGGAUCGAAUUGUAUCUCUAACAGACAAGAUACUUCGAAGAAUAAUCAGAAGAGCCACAUGGUACAAAAUUUCAGACCACAAUGGCAGACAAAACCAUUCAGAUUUCAGAAUGGGCUUCUUCCUGGAAACAUGAAAUGUGAACUGUAAGAACUUCUCCAAAGGUUGCUACUAAAUUAUGUUAAAUAGGACACUAAAUUGUAGUCAUUUUUAUAU